UACGAAGGGGGCUAGCGUUGCUCGGAAUCACUGGGCGUAAAGCGCACGUAGGCGGCUUUUUAAGUCAGGGGUGAAAUCCUGGAGCUCAACUCCAGGACUGCCUUUGAUACUGGGAAGCUUGAGUCCGGGAGAGGUGAGUGGAACUCCGAGUGUAGAGGUGAAAUUCGUAGAUAUUCGGAAGAACACCAGUGGCGAAGGCGGCUCACUGGCCCGGUACUGACGCUGAGGAGCGAAAGCGUGGGGAGCGAACAGG
rnacentral:rRNA from 1 species